UACGUAGGUGGCAAGCGUUGUUCGGAAUUAUUGGGCGUAAAGGGCGCGUAGGCGGUUUGGUAAGUCAGCUGUGAAAGCCCGGGGCUCAACCCCGGAGGGUCGGCUGAUACUGCUAGGCUAGAGUACGGUAGAGGGGGAUGGAAUUCCGCGUGUAGCAGUGAAAUGCGUAGAUAUGCGGAGGAACACCGAUGGCGAAGGCAAUCCCCUGGGCCUGCACUGACGCUCAUGCACGAAAGCGUGGGGAGCAAACAGG
rnacentral:rRNA from 1 species